UACAUGUACACAUCCGCCUCCUCGCCUCGACUUGGCCAGGCCGAACCAAAUCCCCCUAGCCGCCGCCGCCGACCUCAACCCGCCCGCGGCCACGGCCGCACCUCUGCCCGCUCGCCUCCAGUACGAUGGCGUCGGAGGCUAGGUCCGGGGGCGCGCGGCGGAUUCCACCUCAGCCGAGGGACGACAACGCGGCGGCCUCCCCGUCAGUCGCCAUCGGCGUUGCCAAAUCGAAGGCGUAGGCACGGGUGGCUGCGUCUCCGCCGUCAGCGAGGUCCUAUGCCAGCCGUGCCGAGGCGGAGAGCACAGCGGCGGCGGUGAGGGAGAAGGAGGUGUGCUGGCGGAGGAGCUGGAGAAGCCGCGGGAGCGGCGGGGCCGGCUGCGGGCCGCGAGGCAGGUCACGGAGAGGGUGCUGGCGGAGGCGGACGAGGCGCCGCGGCGGGAGAUGCGGGAGUGGGAGUCCAGGGCGGACGAGCAGCGCCGGGUCGUGGCAGACCUGAUGCGCCUCAUCGGUAUGCCGGAGCUGAGAUCCCGGGAGAAGAGAAAGAGGAAACAGGGGACCGGGUCCGGUCACAGUGGCUUCAACACUACGAGAGGAAGAAGCUGGAGCAUAUCUCACCGAUAAGGAAUCGCUGGCGACACCGACAAGAGAAAUUAUGGCAGCAGCAAUCGAAAGCAGCAGCUCUUGAUCCCUUUCUUUGCCACAUUGGCCUGGUCCAAACUUUUAGGCUUACAAAUGAAAUCAAAUGGCUUGUUUGGUAUCUGCUUGCGUCCAUACAUGAUAUAUGAUGGUUUUGAAUGUUCAGCAUAGACAACUUAUUUGAAUCGCCGCGUCUAGACAUGAUUUCCUUUUCUGUUGGGAAGAAUUAUUGUGUGUCUGCUCGAUGCAGAACGGCGACGGCGGGAUCCAGCGGGCACGGGAGAAGGAGGGAUCCGGCGCGGCGGCGCGAAGGUGGAGGCGGGCCUCUGUGGCUGGCAGGGAGAGCUCCAAGGUCAUGGCGGGGCUUCGAUUUUUCUGGUAGAAAAGAGAGACAGAGGAGGAUCCAGGGAGGAGGAGAGGUAGGAGAAGAAGGACGGGAAAGAAGGAAGGGUGCAUCACGGGUGCAGCAGUGCGAGGACACUGGUCUUGUGCGUGAGGAGCGCCUCUCCUCGGGAGGGAGCGAGUGAAACUCAAAUCCACUUCAGAGCAAGCAUUUAGGUCCUAAAUGAGAAAGUAAGGAUGUACUUGAGCAGUUGAGAAGACCCAGUUCCAUUAUCUCAGAAGCCAGAAGUUUCACAUCUAAUAUCUUUGAUUCUAAAAUUUGUCUAAGAAAAUGGUCAUUCUGCUAUUAACACCACGAUUAUGUCUCAAUUGUAGAUUCUUAAUUGCUUAAAAUUAUUUUAUAUGUUUGAUUCCUUCGGUUCAUAUUUAUUCAAAAACAAAAUAUUUUCAA